GUGUCAGCAGCCGCGGUAAUACGGAGGAUGCGAGCGUUAUCCGGAUUUAUUGGGUUUAAAGGGUGCGUAGGCGGAUUAGUAAGUCAGUGGUGAAAACCUGCAGCUUAACUGUAGACUUGCCAUUGAUACUGUUAGUCUUGAGUAUGGUCAAGGAAGGCGGAAUGUGUAAUGUAGCGGUGAAAUGCUUAGAUAUUACACAGAACACCGAUUGCGAAGGCAGCUUUCUGGGCCAUUACUGACGCUGAUGCACGAAAGCGUGGGGAUCGAACAGGAUUAGAUACCCUGGUAGUCCACGCCGUAAACGAUGAUCACUCGCUGUUGGCGAUAUACAGUCAGCGGCAAAGCAAAAGCAUUAAGUGAUCCACCUGGGGAGUACGGCCGCAAGGCUGAAACUUAAAGGAAUUGGCGGGG
rnacentral:rRNA from 1 species